GAUGAACGCUAGCGGCAGGCCUAACACAUGCAAGUCGAGGGGUAGAGUUCUUCGGAACUUGAGACCGGCGCACGGGUGCGUAACGCGUAUGCAAUCUACCUUAUACAGGGGAAUAGCCCAGAGAAAUUUGGAUUAAUGCCCCAUAGUAUUAUUGAACGGCAUCAUUUGAUAAUUAAAGUUCCAACGGUAUAAGAUGAGCAUGCGUCCCAUUAGUUAGUUGGUAAGGUAACGGCUUACCAGGACAAUGAUGGGUAGGGGGCCUGAGAGGGUGGUCCCCCACACUGGUACUGAGACACGGACCAGACUCCUACGGGAGGCAGCAGUGAGGAAUUUUGGACAAUGGGCGCAAGCCUGAUCCAGCAAUGCCGCGUGCAGGAAGAAGGCCUUCGGGUUGUAAACUGCUUUUGUACGGAACGAAAAGGUCUGGGUUAAUACCCUGGGCUCAUGACGGUACCGUAAGAAUAAGCACCGGCUAACUACGUG
rnacentral:rRNA from 1 species